UUCGCAAUGCCCGAAAGGGUGACGAAGCGACGCCGCGUGCGGGAGGAAGGCCUUCGGGUUGUAAACCGCUGUCGGGAGUUAAGAAAUGCAAGGAUGUUAAUAGCGUUCUUGCUUGACUAAGGCUCCGGAGGAAGCCACGGCUAACUCUGUGCCAGCAGCCGCGGUAAUACAGAGGCGGCAAGCGUUGUUCGGAAUUAUUGGGCGUAAAGAGCACGUAGGCGGCUGUGUAAGUCGGUUGUGAAAGCCUUCCGCUCAACGGAGGAACGGCAUCCGAUACUGCAUGGCUUGAGUGUGGGAGGGGAGAGUGGAACUUCUGGUGGAGCGGUGAAAUGCGUAGAUAUCAGAAGGAACACCGGCGGCGAAGGCGACUCUCUGGUCCAUAACUGACGCUGAGUGUGCGAAAGCUAGGGGAGCAAACGGGAUUAGAUACCCCGGUAGUCCUAGCCGUAAACGAUGGGCACUAAGUAGAGGGGUUUU
rnacentral:rRNA from 1 species